rnacentral:misc_RNA from 1 species
UCCUUCUUGUAUGAAGGCAGUUCGGCUAGAGUGAUACAACUAACCGUAGGGGUUGCGCUCGUUACAGGACUUAACCUAACAUCUCACGACACGAGCUGACGACAGCCAUGCAGCAUCUGUGUAGCACCCUCGAAGGCGGCCGGUGUUUCCACCAGCUUGCAGCUACAUGUCAAACCUGGGUGAGGUUCUUCGCUUUGUAACGAAUUAAACCACACGCUCCACUGCUUGUGCAGGUCCCCGUCAAUUCCUUUGAGUUUUAGCCUUGCGGCCGUACUCCCCAGGCGGGAUGCUUAACGCGUUAGCUUAAGACACCGAAGGGGUCAAUACCCCCGAUAUCUAGCAUCCAUCGUUUACAGCGUAGACUAC